rnacentral:rRNA from 1 species
CUCAGUUCGGAUCGGAGUCUGCAACCCGACUCCGUGAAGCUGGAUUCGCUAGUAAUCGCGCAUCAGCCAUGGCGCGGUGAAUACGUUCCCGGGCCUUGUACACACCGCCCGUCAAGCCAUGGAAGCCGGGAGUGCCUGAAGUGCGUGACCGCAAGGAGCGUCCUAAGGCAAUACCGGUGACUGGGGCUAAGUCGUAACAAGGUAAC